GAUGAACGCUGGCGGCAUGCCUAAUACAUGCAAGUCGAGCGCACGGACGAGAAGCUUGAUUCUCUGCAAUUAGCGGCGGACGGGAAAGUAACACGUGGAUAACCUACCUAUAAGGCUGGGAUAACUACGGGACACCGUAGCUAAUACCGGGUCAUAUUUUGACCCGCCUGGUUCAAAAGAGAAAGACGCUCUAGCUGUCACUUAUAGAUGGUUCGCCACUUCAUUAGCUAGCUGGUAAGGUAACGGCUUACCAAGGCAACGAUGCAUAGCCGACCUGUGAGGGUGAGCGACCAGGCUUGAGCUGAGACACGGUCCAGAGUCCUACGAGAGGCAGCAGUAGGGACUAUGCCGGGAUGGGCGAGAGCCUGUUGGAGCAUCGCGGCAAGAGUGAUGAAGGUCUUCGGAGCGUAAGACGAUGUUAUUAGGGAAGUACAUAUGUGUAAGCAGCUAUGCACAUAAUGACGGUACCUACACAAAAAGCCACGGCUAACUACGUG
rnacentral:rRNA from 1 species